GGUGGCUUGCCAGCUUGACCGAAGUAAAGUGUGGAUGCAUGCAUGGGCAUGCCACUGUAGUUGAGCUAGCUGGAAAGAUGUUGGUCAAAUGGAGGAUAGAGAGUAGCAUAGAUCCAGAUAUUUUGACCUUCACAAAUUUUUCACCAUUGUCACACCAUCUUUUAAAGGAGAUUACGAUGGAUAUGGUGUAGCUGAGUUACG
rnacentral:lncRNA from 1 species